GUCGUGGUCGAGCCUAUGGGUCGAGCUGGAAAGGCUUCUUGUCGGCCUUACAAAUGGAAUCUGGUUGCAGGUUUACAAUCACAGAACACAUUCCUGCUCAGGACUUGUAACAGGUUUGUAUUGGAAGCUUCUCGCUUGAAGUCAUGGCGACUGCAUCACUUGGAACAAGUAUCAUAAUCUCAAAUUACACUCAAAAUUAGGGAUAUCUAGCUUUUGGGUGAAAUACAGGAAGUGCUGAAGUACUUAAGCAUUGAACUGUUGGACAGAAAGGUGUUUAGAUGUCCAAGGUGUUUAGAGACAGUCACAUUAAUUUAACCUGUGAAGGUUAUGGUUUUACUUAAGGUUAAUCCUGAGAUUUCACUGGAAAGCUAAAUAUCCCUGACUUUUGUGAGUAGUGUAUGUAGUUUUGGAUUAGUGGUGUAAGUUCUGCUGUUCUAACUGAAUGCAUUUAAAUGGGUGUCUAGACAAGGUAGUUGACCAGUAAUUGAGACAUGAUUAUUUCAGUCAGGGAGAUGUCAAUUAUGUAAAUGUGAGCGGGUACCAGGGGUCAGGAUUUAGAGGGUUAGCUACAGCCAGUUACCAUUUCCACCUUAAAAAUAUGGUGUUGACAAGCGCUUCAGUAACCAUAUUCAAAUACACCAAUUACAUGCCACGUUUCCGAUGACUACAAAUGAUGCUAUCUGUGUGGAUUGGUGGUUGAGCUGGUAGCUUCCUUCUGGGAGGAUCAACCAGUUCACAUGGACGACAUAAAUUGCACAAUUGUCCACAAAUUAUAUUGUCCAUGUGGAUUGUCUUAUCCUCCCUGAAGGAAAUUCUCAGCUCAACCACCAAUUUACUGCAACAUACUGCGGUCUCCAUCUGUAACUUGGCACUGAACUAACUCUAGAUGGUGCUGUGAAGGAGGCCUGUGAAAUGCCAUUCUGAAAGACAGCUGAGGUGAAUUGAGCUAAGAUCAAGUGGUUAGUCUAGCAUGGCCCAAUCGAAUUCAUGGGGGUGGUUGUCCAAUUCUGUAUAUUCCUCCAUGGUGAACAGUUAGUGUUAGUUCAGUGCCUUCUGGAGUACAGGGAAGCGGUGGCAAUUUAAACUUUUUUUUGUGUUGGGGCAUCUGAUCCAUGUUGAAUGUGCUUUGUUUUAUGUUUUCCAAUAAAAGGAGGAAAUGUA